rnacentral:rRNA from 1 species
UGAAGGAUGAGCCCGCGGCCUAUCAGCUUGUUGGUGAGGUAGUGGCUCACCAAGGCGACGACGGGUAGCCGGCCUGAGAGGGCGACCGGCCACACUGGGACUGAGACACGGCCCAGACUCCUACGGGAGGCAGCAGUGGGGAAUAUUGCACAAUGGGCGAAAGCCUGAUGCAGCGACGCCGCGUGAGGGAUGACGGCCUUCGGGUUGUAAACCUCUUUCAGCAGGGAAGAAGCGAGAGUGACGGUACCUGCAGAAGAAGCGCCGGCUAACUACGUGCCAGCAGCCGCGGUAAUACGUAGGGCGCAAGCGUUGUCCGGAAUUAUUGGGCGUAAAGAGCUCGUAGGCGGCUUGUCACGUCGGGUGUGAAAGACCGGGGCUUAACCCCGGUUCUGCAUUCGAUACGGGCUAGCUAGAGUGUGGUAGGGGAGAUCGGAAUUCCUGGUGUAGCGGUGAAAUGCGCAGAUAUCAGGAGGAACACCGGUGGCGAAGGCGGAUCUCUGGGCCAUUACUGACGCUGAGGAGCGAAAGCGUGGGGAGCGAACAGGAUUAGAUACCCUGGUAGUCCACGCCGUAAACGGUGGGAACUAGGUGUUGGC